AAAAUUUUUAAUAAAAUAUUUUAAAGGGGGGGUUAAAGUAUAUUUAUAGAAAAAAUUAAUUAAUUUAUAGUUAAAUAGUAUUGUGAAAGAAUUUUGAAAUAUGUGAAAAUAAAAUUAAAAAAAAGUAAUUUUUGUUUAGUGUAUCUUGGGUAUCAGAGUUUAUUAAAAAAAAUUAUUAAAUAAUAAAUUCUCGAAUUUAAAAGAGAUAAUUAAUUAAUAAAGUUAUUGUAGCAUAAAUAUUUUAAAUAAUUAAUUGGAAAUGAAAUGUUAAUCGUUUUUAAAUAUAUCUAGUUUUUUUAGAAAAAAAUUUAAUUUUAUGUUAAUAAAAAAAAAAAUUAAUUAAAUAAUUUUUUUUUUUAUUAACAUUAUAUUUUAAGGGAUAAGCUUUAAUUUAAAUUUAUAUAAAUAAAAUUAAAAAUUAAAUUGAAAAUUUUAUGAUUUAUAUUGUUAAAAAAAUUUAAUUUAUUAUAAAUAAUUUCAUUUAAAAUAAAAUUUAAUAAAAUUUUAUAUAUUUAUAAAAAAAGAAUUUUUAAUAAGUUUAAAUUUGAUAUAAUGAUAAAAUUAGUAUAUGUAAAAUAAUUAUAAAUAAUAUAAAUUACACUAUAUAUUAUAAUUAAUUAAAAGGAAUUCGGCAAAAAGUUAUAUUCACUUGUUUAUCAAAAACAUGUCUUUUUGAAAAUAAUAUAAAGUCUAAUCUGCCCACUGAUAAAAUAUUAAAGGGCUGCAGUAUAUUGACUGUACAAAGGUAGCAUAAUCAUUAGUCAUUUAAUUGAUGACUUGUAUGAAAGAUUGGAUGAAAUAUAAACUGUCUCUUAAUUAAAUGUAGAAUUUAAUUUUUUAAUUAAAAAGUUAAAAUAAUUUAAAAAGACGAGAAGACCCUAUAGAGUUUUAUAAAUUUAUUAAUUAAGAUUAUAUAUUUAUAAAAAAAAAUUAAAAUCAAUAAAUUUAUUUUGUUGGGGUGAUAAAAAAAUAAAAAAAACUUUUUUUAUAAGUGAACAUAUAUAAAUGAUUAAAUGAUCCAUUAAUAAUGAUUAUAAGAAAAAAUUACCUUAGGGAUAACAGCGUAAUUUUUUUUUUUAGUUCUUAUAAAAAAAAAAGUUUGCGACCUCGAUGUUGGAUUAAGAUAAAAUUUAAAUGCAGUAGUUUAAAAUUUUUGAUCUGUUCGAUCAUUAAAAUCUUACAUGAUCUGAGUUCAAACCGGUGUAAGCCAGGUUGGUUUCUAUCUUUUAAUAAUUAAAAUAUUUUAGUACGAAAGGAUUAAAUAUUUAAAUUAAAUUUUUUAUUUUGAAUUUUAUUAAAAUAAUUUAAUAUAAUA
rnacentral:rRNA from 1 species